UUGUAGGGAUUGAAUAUUUCUCUCUAUAAAUGGAACAUACUUCUAUUAUUUCCCAUUCUAGAACCUUCUCCACCUGUUCCAACUCAAGCAGUGGAAACCCAGCCUACAACACUUCAGGAAACAGAGACUCAGCUGUUCACCUCCCCGGAAUCAAGCCAAGAAGAUGGGAAUGGCACUGUGACACAGUCUUCAGGUGGCCCUCGGCAAAACGAUCAACCUGAGUUUCCAGCACAACACAAACGAGUCGACGCUAAAAGACUCUAUGUUGGAAUCCUUGUUUCUAGCUUGCUUUUGCUCAUUAGUUUGGUUGUCAUCAUUGUCAAAAAGAGAUUCAUCGGCAAAAGGAGGACACUGACACUAAGCAAGGUUUUGUGGAUGCGUCCUCGAAAUCAAGCUUUGGAACAGCAAAGCCCAGCAGAAGACGAAGUCUACAUCAUCAAGAAUAAUGUUUUCGUCCUUGAUUAAAACUCAGCGGUACUCUCUGUCCAUGACUGCAGAAGACACUGACCAGGCAACACCACGAUCAUCGUCUUCUCCAUCCCGGGACCAUUUUCUGUAUCAGUUUUAUCUGUCGUUCCAGCAGAUCAGUGCUGGUGGAUAGAGGAACUCUCAGGGUCAAAGCCAUUAUGUUGUCAAAUUUUGUUUUAAUAUUGUUCUGAUUUUUAUGUUGAGACUGUUCCAGUCUUUCCAGGCACUGCAGAGCUCUCUGUCAAACAUGCGUAUGUCAGAGUUCUGUCUUUUCUUUAGACUCUAUAAUCCCAUUCAUCAAAGAAAGUAAUCAGGGCUCAUGCAGGAAAUGAACCCACUGUAACUGUCAAGAGCAAUAGGACCUA
rnacentral:lncRNA from 1 species